ACUGAACUGUACUGUACUGUAUUGUACUGUACUGUACUGUAUUGUAUUGUAUUCUAUGGUAUUGUAUUCUAUGGUAUUGUACUGUACUGUAUUGUAUUGUAUUGUACUGUAUUGUAUUGUACUGUACUGUAUUGUAAUGUACUGUAUUCUAUGGUAUUGUACUGUAUUGUAUUGUACUGUACUGUACUGUAUUGUAUUGUAUUGUAUUGUAUUGUACUGUACUGUAUUCUAUGGUAUUGUAUUGUACUGUACUGUAUUGUAUUCUAUGGUAUUGUACUGUACUGUACUGUAUUGUAUUGUAUUGUACUGUACUGUAUUGUAUUGUAUUGUAUUGUACUGUACUGUAUUGUAUUGUAUUCUGUGGUAUUGUACUGUACUGUAUUGUAUUGUACUGUACUGUAUUGUACUGUACUGUACUGUACUGUACUGUACUGUACUGUAUUGUGCCCCUGGUGGACAGAUGCUCUAUCGUCACAUUUCACUGGGACCGACCUGCCAAAGAUCUCACAGAGCACAGAGCUCACACUCUGAGGAGAAAACAGGAGAACAAACAAACUCACUCAGCAGUUCAACGAUCAAUCUGGGAUCAAUACUAAAGCUGAUCGAGAGUUGAAAUCCAUGUGACCCUGCAGCUGCUCUUUCAGCCAAUCAGAGCGCAGCGUUGUUUCUCCUCCUGCUGUGACCUCUAACACAGUUUACUCAGAGCUGAUUCACAAAGUUCAUCUACGAGUGUUGCACAAAUGUUCUGGAAACGUUCCAAGUCGACUCCGGUGUGAAGACAUCAGAGUGACCAGAGAUCAGUCUGUCUGAAUAUCAUCCAAUCAUUACAGUCCUUAUCAAUACAUCCAAUCAUUACAGUCCUUAUCAAUACAUCCAAUCAUUACAGUCCUUAUCAAUACAUCCAAUCAUUACAGUCCUUAUCAAUACAUCCAAUCAUUACAGUCCUUAUCAAUACAUCCAAUCAUUAAAGUCCUUAUCAAUACAUCCAAUCAUUAAAGUCCUUAUCAAUACAUCCAAUCAGACAGACAGGUGAGCAGACAGACAGGUGAGCAGACAGACAGGUGAGCAGACAGACAGGUGUACCUCCAAACAUGAUGUAAUCUCUGAACAGACAGACAGGUGAGCAGACAGACAGGUGAGCAGACAGACAGGUGAGCAGACAGACAGGUGUACCUCCAAACAUGAUGUAAUCUCUGAACAGACAGACAGGUGAGCAGACAGACAGGUGAGCAGACAGACAGGUGUACCUCCAAACAUGAUGUAAUCUCUGAACAGACAGACAGGUGAGCAGACAGACAGGUGUACCUCCAAACAUGAUGUAAUCUCUGAACAGACAGACAGGUGAGCAGACAGACAGGUGAGCAGACAGACAGGUGUACCUCCAAACAUGAUGUAAUCUCUGAACAGACAGACAGGUGAGCAGACAGACAGGUGUACCUCCAAACAUGAUGUAAUCUCUGAACAGACAGACAGGUGAGCAGACAGACAGGUGAACAGACAGACAGGUGAGCAGACAGACGGGUGUACCUCCAAACAUGAUGUAAUCUCUGAACAGACAGACAGGUGAGCAGACAGACAGGUGUACCUCCAAACAUGAUGUAAUCUCUGAACAGACAGACAGGUGAGCAGACAGACAGGUGAACAGACAGACAGGUGAGCAGACAGACA